rnacentral:rRNA from 1 species
UACGUAGGGUGCAAGCGUUAAUCGGAAUUACUGGGCGUAAAGCGUGCGCAGGCGGUUUUGCAAGUCAGAUGUGAAAUCCCCGGGCUCAACCUGGGAACUGCAUUUGUGACUGCAUGGCUAGAGUGCGGCAGAGGGGGAUGGAAUUCCGCGUGUAGCAGUGAAAUGCGUAGAUAUGCGGAGGAACACCGAUGGCGAAGGCAAUCCCCUGGGCCAGCACUGACGCUCAUGCACGAAAGCGUGGGGAGCAAACAGG